rnacentral:rRNA from 1 species
GUGCCAGCAGCCGCGGUAAUACGAACCGUCCAAACGUUACUCGGAAUCACUGGGCUUAAAGGGUGCGUAGGCCGCGCGGAGGGUGGGAUGUGAAAUCCCCCGGCUCAACCGGGGAAUAGCGUCCCAAACCGCCGUGCUCGAGGGAGACAGAGGUGAGCGGAACUGAUGGUGGAGCGGUGAAAUGCGUUGAUAUCAUCAGGAACACCAGUGGCGAAGGCGGCUCACUGGGUCUUUCCUAACGCUGAGGCACGAAAGCUAGGGGAGCGAACGGGAUUAGAUACCCCGGUAGUCCUAGCCUUAAACGAUGAGCACUUGAUUGGAGGGAUGGUCACGUCCUUCCGGUCGUAGCGAAAGUGUUAAGUGCUCCGCCUGGGGAGUAUGGUCGCAAGGCUGAA